rnacentral:rRNA from 1 species
ACGCUCGACACCUACGGGAGCAGCAGUGAGGGAUAUUGGUCAAUGGGGGAAACCCUGAACCAGCAACGCCGCGUGAGGGAUGACGGUCUUCGGAUUGUAAACCUCUGUCCUCUGUGAAGAUAAUGACGGUAGCAGAGGAGGAAGCUCCGGCUAACUACGUGCCAGCACGCCGACGGUAAUCUGAGGCCGGGCGUGGACGAAGGC